rnacentral:rRNA from 1 species
UACGUAGGUCGCAAGCGUUGUCCGGAUUUACUGGGCGUAAAGAGCGCGCAGGCGGCUGGUCAAGUCCGAUGUGAAAUCUCCCGGCUCAACUGGGAAACUGCAUCGGAAACUGAUCGGCUUGAAGGUGGGAGAGGGUAGUGGAAUUCCCGGUGUAGUGGUGAAAUGCGUAGAUAUUGGGAGGAACACCAGUGGCGAAGGCGGCUCACUGGACUGGUACUGACGCUGAGGCGUGAAAGCGUGGGGAGCAAACAGG